rnacentral:rRNA from 1 species
GUGCCAGCCGCCGCGGUAAUACGUAGGUGGCGAGCGUUGUCCGGAUUUAUUGGGUUUAAAGGGUGCGUAGGCGGUCCUAUAAGUCAGUGCUGAAAUAUCCCGGCUUAACCGGGAGGGUGGCAUUGAUACUGCAGGACUUGAGUAAAGUUGAGGUAGGCGGAAUUGACGGUGUAGCGGUGAAAUGCUUAGAUAUCGUCAAGAACACCGAUAGUGCAGACAGCUUACUAAGCUUUAACUGACGCUGAGGCACGAAAGUGUGGGGAUCAAACAGGAUUAGAUACCCGGGUAGUCC